rnacentral:rRNA from 1 species
UACAGAGGGGGGCAAGCGUUGUUCGGAAUUACUGGGCGUAAAGGGCGCGUAGGCGGCCUGCUAAGUCGAACGUGAAAUCCCCUGGGCUCAACCCAGGAACUGCGUCCGAUACUGGUUGGCUUGAAUCCGGGAGAGGGAUGUGGAAUUCCAGGUGUAGCGGUGAAAUGCGUAGAUAUCUGGAGGAACACCGGUGGCGAAGGCGACAUCCUGGACCGGUAUUGACGCUGAGGCGCGAAAGCGUGGGGAGCAAACAGGG